CUGUAUUUUAGGUCAUAAAUGUAACUUUAUGUAUUUUAAAGUGUUUUACUGUCUUUGUGUCUUUUUGCAACCAUGUGCUUAAUGGAGUCUUGUGUCUGUCCUGGGAGAUAAUUGAAUUACUCUCCAGGAUAGAAGACUCUGAAACUGGUUUGGGCCAGAAAGCCAUGCUUCAUUUAGUCACAAAGGACUUUUUACUAACUUUUGAACCCCUUGUCUGAUUUAUGCCAUUUUUUAAUAUGUUGUUCC